rnacentral:rRNA from 1 species
GACGUAGGGCGCGAGCGUUGUCCGGAUUUAUUGGGCGUAAAGAGCUCGUAGGCGGCUCAUUGCGUCAACCGUGAAAACCUGCCGCUCAACGGUAGGCUUGCGGUUGAUACGGGUGGGCUGGAGUUCGGUAGGGGAGACUGGAAUUCCUGGUGUAGCGGUGAAAUGCGCAGAUAUCAGGAGGAACACCGGUGGCGAAGGCGGGUCUCUGGGCCGAUACUGACACUGAGGAGCGAAAGCGUGGGGAGCGAACAGG